UACGAAGGGGGCUAGCGUUGUUCGGAAUUACUGGGCGUAAAGCGCGUGUAGGCGGGUCUUUAAGUCAGGGGUGAAAUGCCAGGGCUCAACCUUGGAACUGCCUUUGAUACUGGGGACCUUGAGUCCGGGAGAGGUGAGUGGAAUUGCGAGUGUAGAGGUGAAAUUCGUAGAUAUUCGCAAGAACACCAGUGGCGAAGGCGGCUCACUGGCCCGGAACUGACGCUGAGACGCGAAAGCGUGGGGAGCAAACAGG
rnacentral:rRNA from 1 species